rnacentral:ncRNA from 1 species
AAUAUAUAACAAUAACCUUCGUAUAAGCUAAGCAAUAGGGGUUUAGCGUUUCUACUAUACUACCGUAAAUAGUAUAACUAUGAAGAAUUUAGU